CUAAUAAUGACACUCCCUAUGAGCUUAUGAUGGUCAGUUACAUUCAAACCACCACGGAUGCCGACAUCCUUGUUCACAACAUCCAAUGCUUUCCUCAGAGGUGACCACUGCUGUGUUUUAAAGAGGUUUCCAGAGAACUUUCUGAAGGCACAACAGGCCCAGUGGCUUUCUGGAGACAAGGUGGACUCUACUGGUUCUCCAAGAAAGACGUUUCUACAGGAGCCCGGUCUACAAUUCCAGCAUUCAUCUCUCAUCUCAAAGAUGAAAGGGGCGCUUUUACACAUCGUAAGUAAUGGCAUGACCUCUUCUUCCAGUCAUUCAAAAAUGCAUUUGUUCUCCAUAAUAGAGAGAGAAGCCGCAGCCAAAUUAUAUUCUAAUGUAUAAGAGCCUUGAACCCAGGAGGCCAUUCUGCACUGCCAGCUAGGUGGCUGCCGAAUAUAUCAUUAGUCCAACAAGGUUUGUCUGUCGGCUUUGUGAAGAGGCAGAAUUUCUAGCUUCAAAUGAAUAUCUGGGUGUAAUUUAUCCUUGUGCCUGUUAGAAGCCCUAGACGAUGCUCUUCCUGAACGGAGUCAUGAUGGAAACGGUUGGGCUCCUGACACAGUUGUCAUGUGCUCAAUUGAGGCAGCUGUACUAGGAAGGCCGAAGAAGCUGAAGAAGGUUAAGAUACCAAGUACCUGCCCAGUUAUGUGGGCACCAAGAAGAAGCUACAAUGCAUUCUACCAUUUUAAGGUCUGGAAUCAGACUCUCAGGAGAGGCGGUGUAAGAAAAACAUGAAAUGACUUCCUGAUGGGAAAUGUGUUUGAGCCUCGUGGAUCCAGUCACUCACUGAAGCCAGUGCCUGGGGCCAGCACGAUGCCAUGCUAAGUCACCCAUCGCCACUGGCUUUCUCUCUCUCUCUCUUUGUGUCCUCCCCCCCUUCCUUCUGAUGCUCGCCAAUUUCACAGUUGACAUGAGUUCCUGCAAGAAAGCUCCUUGUCUUUUAACUCCUGGGAUAUCCAAUUCUUCCUGCAUGUAUACUUAUUUCUCCUAAAUGAUCUAGCUUCAAUCUUGCCCUGGGCACCAGAAUCAUCCAGUCACCUUAGUCUGGAGUUUCCCAAGUAGGAAAUUUUACUGUGUACCCAUAGUUGACAAAUAUGAAGUACGUUCUUCUUUUUGCUCUUGAAACUAGUGCUUUUGAUCAUUUGUGUAAAAACCACCGGUUUCUCCUAAUGAGCAAAGAUCAGAAUUCUCAGCCUUUGUCAUGGUUUCCUUUCCUUACUACCAUCCAUGUAGAAAUGUACCAGGUCUCUUGGAGUUCACCAACAAAUUAGGUAUUAAUCUGCCCCCAUGUUUUUCAUUUUGUAUUCCUUUCUGUUUUGUCUUGUCCAGCCACUCAGCAAGCAGCCACUUAGCUGCUUCCUAGUGAGGGAUGCUGGGUUACACACUGAGACAGAGACAGAGACAGAGAGAGACAAAGGCAGAGAUAUUUCUCCAGGUAACAACUACAUGAUAUUAUAUCUAUACUUCAUAUCUAUACUAACAACAUACACACAUGCACGCAAACAUACACACACAUUUUUUUUUUUCAGAUAGUGUUUCUCUGUGUAGUCCUGGCUGUCCCGGAACUCG